rnacentral:rRNA from 1 species
GAUACGGGCCAGACUCCUACGGGAGGCAGCAGUAAGGGAUAUUGCGCAAUGGACGAAAGUCAGACGCAGCGACGCCGCGUGGGCGAUGAAGGCCUUCGGGUUGUAAAGCCCUUUUAUGGGGGAAGAGAAAAAGGACGGUACCCCAGGAAUAAGUCCCGGCUAACUACGUGCCAGCAGCCGCGGUAAAACGUAGGGGACAAGCGUUAUCCGGAUUCACUGGGCGUAAAGAGCGUUGAGGCGGUUCCGUAAGUUGGGCGUGAAAGCUCCGGGCUUAACUCGGAGAUGUCGUUCAAUACUGCGGGGCUUGAGGACAGCAGAGGAAGGUGGAAUUCCCGGUGUAGUGGUGAAAUGCGUAGAUAUCGGGAGGAACACCCGUGGCGAAGGCGGCCUUCUGGGCUGUUCCUGACGCUGAAGGCGAAAGCUAGGGGAGCGAACGGGAUUAGAUACCCCGGUAGUCCUAGCUGUAAACGAUGGAUGCUGGGUUUGGGGGGUGUAAAUUCCCUCUGUGCCGAAGCAAACGCGUUAAGCAUCCCGCCUGGGGACUACGGCCGCAAGGCUAAAACUCAAACGAAUUGACGGGGGCCCGCACAAGCAGCGGAGCGUGUGGUUUAAUUCGAUGCUACACGAAGAACCUUACCUGGGUUUGACAUGCACGUGGUAGGGAACCGAAAGGGGACCGACCUUCGGGAGCGUGCACAGGUGCUGCAUGGCUGUCGUCAGCUCGUGCCGUGAGGUGUCGGGUUAAGUCCCGUAACGAGCGCAACCCGUGCCCUUAGUUACAAGUGUCUAAGGGGACUGCCCGGGACAACUGGGAGGAAGGUGGGGAUGACGUCAAGUCAGCAUGGCCUUUAUAUCCAGGGCUACACACACGCUACAAUGGCCGGUACAAUAGGUUGCGAAGUCGUGAGGCGGAGCCAAUCCUCAAAGCCGGUCUCAGUUCGAAUUGCGGUCUGCAACUCGACUGCAUGAAGCUGGAGUUGCUAGUAAUCGCAGGUCAGCUAUACUGCGGUGAUACGUUCCCGGGCCUUGUACACACCGCCCGUCACGUC